rnacentral:rRNA from 1 species
GAUGAACGCUGACAGAAUGCUUAACACAUGCAAGUCUUUGGCGAAGCUGUGCUCGCCCAGCCUAGCCAAGGCGGACGGGUGAGUAACGCGUAAGGAACUUGCCCUGCAGUCAGGGAUAACAGACGGAAACGACUGAUAAGACCUGGUAAAGUCAGGCGGACUCAUGUCCAGCCUGAUGAAAAGAGAUGCUGCAGGAGAGCCUUGCGUCCUAUUAGCUUGUUGGUGGGGUAACGGCCCACCAAGGCGAUGAUAGGUAGCCGGCCUGAGAGGGUGGACGGCCACAAGGGGACUGAGGUACGGCCCUUACUCCUACGGGAGGCAGCAGGGGGGAAUAUUGGACAAUGGGGGCAACCCUGAUCCAGCAAUUCUGUGUGCACGAUGAAGGUUUUCGGAUUGUAAAGUGCUUUCAGCAGGGAAGAAAAAAAUGACGGUACCUGCAGAAGAAGCGACGGCUAAAUACGUG